rnacentral:rRNA from 1 species
AGAGUUUGAUCCUGGCUCAGAAUCAACGCUGGCGGCGUGCCUAACACAUGCAACUCGAACGCGGUUACCGCAGCUCCGCAAGGAAUUGUGGUAACUGAGUGGCGNANCGGGUGAGUAANCACGUGGGUGGCCUACCUUCGAGUGGGGGAUAACGUCCCGAAAGGGACGCUAAUACCGCAUGACAUCCUGCCUUUGAACAGGCGGAGAUCAAAGCCGGGGAUCGCAAGACCUGGCGCUUGAUGAGGGGCCCGCGUCCGAUUAGCUAGUUGGUGAGGUAACGGCUCACCAAGGCAACGAUCGGUAUCCGGCCUGAGAGGGCGGACGGACACACUGGGACUGAGACACGGCCCAGACUCCUACGGGAGGCAGCAGUGGGGAAUUGUUCGCAAUGGGCGCAAGCCUGACGACGCAACGCCGCGUGGAGGAUGAAGGUCUUCGGAUUGUAAACUCCUGUUGCCAGGGACGAAUAGCCCCGACCUAACACGUCGGAGUAUGACGUACCUGUGAGGA